GUGACUUCUGAGUAAGGGAGAAGAAAACAAAUCUCAGCUCUCCCCGGAGGAAAAUCCAGGAAACCCGAGCGGUUCCUGAGGCAGCGCAACGGGGCGGCUGCAGCGGCCGGGGAACCAUUUGGGGCCGGCUCCCGUUGGGGCCCGGAGCCUCCUGGAAAGUUUCCUGGCGGCCCCGAUGGAAAAAAGUUCACUGCAGGGCAGUCCCGCGGAUCCCGCCUGGGCUGACGCCGCCUCCGCAAAGCCUGCGUCUCACGGUGAGCCGAGCAAGUCGUGUUUGGGAGCAGCUGCAGCCCGGGAGGUGUUCGGGCGGCGGCGACCCAAAUGCUGCUGUGGUUUAGCAGGGAGGCCGGGAGAUGUUUCCCUGCUGCAAAGUCUGCUGGGGACUAAAGCGAAGAUUUUCCGAAAGCUAAAGGCCUGCAGGGCCAGUAUUUAACAUCCUGGCUGAUCUUCAAGAGCGAGGGCUGGCAGCGCGCGGUGACAGCUGCGGGUGGCACCCAGCCAGCGGCCGGGAGCCCACGCAUCCAACACGGCCUCGGGGGAGGCAGCGGCUCCGGGGCCCUGCUGGAAGACGAUGCUGCCACAUAUUUUAACAUCACUGUUAUCCAUCAAAGCCACGAGCGCUGAUUUGCCCCGUUGUGGUAUUUGACAGGCUUUGCUGGACUUCCAAAACCAAUAGCUAAAGUGGCGUUGGGACGUGCAAUUGUCUGGGUGAAAUCUCCCUUUCUGAUCUUAUUUUCAGGUUGCUCAUUCCCUGAGUAUGAGAACAAAAAAAGAAUAAAAGAGAAUGACAGUUC